AGUUGAAUGGCUGGGUCAUAUGAUCAAUUUAUGUUUAAUUUUUAAGAAACUACCAAACUGUUUUCCAAAAUCAUUGUACCAUUUUACACUCCCACCAGCAGU
rnacentral:pre_miRNA from 1 species